rnacentral:rRNA from 1 species
CAGCCGCCGCGGGAAAACGUAGGUGGCAAGCGUUGUCCGGAAUUAUUGGGCGUAAAGGGCUCGCAGGCGGUUUCUUAAGUCUGAUGUGAAAGCCCCCGGCUCAACCGGGGAGGGUCAUUGGAAACUGGGAAACUUGAGUGCAGAAGAGGAGAGUGGAAUUCCACGUGUAGCGGUGAAAUGCGUAGAGAUGUGGAGGAACACCAGUGGCGAAGGCGACUCUCUGGUCUGUAACUGACGCUGAGGAGCGAAAGCGUGGGGAGCGAACAGGAUUAGAUACCCGGGUAGUCCCUGUCUCUUAUAC